rnacentral:rRNA from 1 species
GAUGAACGCUGGCGGCGUGCCUAAUACAUGCAAGUCGAGCGAACAGACGAGGAGCUUGCUCCUCUGACGUUAGCGGCGGACGGGUGAGUAACACGUGGAUAACCUACCUAUAAGACUGGGAUAACUUCGGGAAACCGGAGCUAAUACCGGAUAAUAUAUUGAACCGCAUGGUUCAAUAGUGAAAGACGGUUUUGCUGUCACUUAUAGAUGGAUCCGCGCCGCAUUAGCUAGUUGGUAAGGUAACGGCUUACCAAGGCAACGAUGCGUAGCCGACCUGAGAGGUGGUUCGCCCACCCUGAACCUGGGACCCGUCCCAGCUCCCAAGGGAAGCAAGCGUAGGGAAAUCUUCGGAAUUGGCCGAAAGCCUACGGAGCCACCCCGCGGGGGUGAUUAAAGUCUUCCGAUUCUUAAACCCUUGUAAUAGGGAAAAACAAAUUGUGUAGUAACCAAUGCCCGUUUUAACGUAACCAAUCAGAAAGCCACGGCUAACUACGUG